UGGUUUUAUAUUUUAUUAAAAAUAUUAAAUUGCAAAUUUAAAGAUACAUAUUUAGUGUUAAAACU
rnacentral:tRNA from 1 species